AGAAAAGGUAGGGGUUUGCAAAGGGGUAGCCUCUGGUCCUUUUUCUCGCUGUGUCGCCAGGCUGGAGUGCAGUGGCGUGAUCUAGGCUCACUGCAACCUCCACCUCCUGGGUUCAAGCAAUUCUCCUGCCUCAGCCUCCUGAGUAGCUGGGACUACAGGCGCCCACCACCAUGUCCAGCUAAUUUUUGUAUUUUUAGUAGAGACGGGGUUUCACCAUGUUGGCCAGGAUGGUCUGGAUCUC
rnacentral:lncRNA from 1 species